rnacentral:lncRNA from 1 species
CGGCCGCCCUGCCAGCGCGCUGCUCUUUCUCUGCUACCUGAAUUUUGUGCCAUCUUUGGGCAGGCAGACUUCCCUGACGACAUCGGUGCUGCCCAGAACAGAACAGAGCACAACGUACACAGACUUUAUUUAUUUUACUGCCUUUGAAGGGAGCGUGCGCAAUGUCUCUGAAGUCUCUGUGGAGUAUUUAUGCUCCCAGCCUUGUGUUGUCAAUUUGGAAGCGGUUGUGUCAUCCGAGUUCAGAAGUAGCAUUCCCGUGUACAAAAAGAGGUGGAGGAAUGAGAAGCAUCUUCACACCAGCAGGACACAGAUAGUACACGUGAAGUUUCCGAGCAUUAUGGUGUACAGGGAUGACUACCUGAUCAGACACCCCAUCUCGGUGUCCCCAGUGAUUCUCCGAGCCUGGAUCACUCACUGGCACAGUGGCGGGGGCUUGAACGUGCGAGGGGAGGAGAAUUUGCUGCACGCAGUAGCCAAGAAUUACACCCUGCUGCAGACGGUCCCGCCUUUCGAACGGCCUUUCAAAGAUCAUCAGGUGUGCCUGG